GGCUGGUAUUGGUUUCUGAUCUGGAUUCUAUACUUCCAUGUGUUCGACGUUUCGACUACAAACUAGUCGAAACAUCGAUUAAAAAUCAAAAUAUUAUUCGGAGUUACUGUUAUUUUGUAUUUUCUUAAUAUACUGUCCUUGCGUCUUAAUAUUAUCUGUCCGCACAAAGGGCGUCGUGGACGCCUGAAAGGGCCGAUUUACACUACACAACUUUUGCCUAAAACUGAUGCAACCUGCUUACAACUUGAGUUGUACUGUGUUCUACUAGAACUGAAGUUGUAAGCAGGUUGCAUGCGACAGUUUUAGGUAAAAUUUAAAGUUGUUGGGUCUAAAAUACUAAAUGAAUCCGGAUACAUCCUAGACGCUGGUGUCAAGGUCAUCCGGGUGGCACAGGUUAUCAAGGUCAUCCAUGCAGGUGGCAUCUUGUCUCAUAUUUCAGGUAUAUAUAAUAGACACUAUCGCCAAGACUUUGUAUUAUAUUGUGACGUUUGUUGGCAUUGCAUGCACUAAUAAUCUACAGUUGAACCACUAAAAUAAGCAUUUCAGUAGUCACCCGAUGGCAUUUCAGGAGUCACCCGAAUCUUCUUAUCGAGUCGCAUUCUUGGCGGAAUUGAGUUGGUCAAAUGAAAGUAAGAAAUACCUUUUGUGUUGUAAACGGCUGAAAUUUUGCACCCGCCUGUGCGCGUGUAAAUUGUUGUCUUAUAAGUAAUGGAUGGGUUAUUAUUUGGGAGUUAUGUAGGGCGCGCUACUAUGCUAAAUAUCUAAGAUUCUCAGUUAAAAUUUUCACGCUUGAACGGCGUCAGCUCGCAGUGUUAUCAAUUCCAGAUGUGGAUAGUGAAGUCACCCCUUGUUCUUUCCUGGUUCUUUAAUUCAGUCAUGCUGUAAUAUAGUUGGAAAUAUAAUUAUAAUAAUGCGUAAAACCAUAUAUACAAUUCUACCGGGCACACAAGUUCCGUCCAGAAUACGAGAUAACAUCUUGUGUAGUCAACAUACAUCUCUAAUGGAGUGGAUCCUCGUCGCCCUGCAUUGUCACUAGCCUCCUCCGCAGGUAUCUCACCCGACGAAUCGAGUGGUGGGAAAAAGUUUGGUGAAAUCUCUCUCCCACAAAAUUUUUUUUCAAAACCCAUUCGCAGGCUAGAACCCAUAGAGAGGCCUGCGGAGGAGGCUACAUUGUCACAUAACAGUGACCCAAUACACCCUUUCGAUAAUUACGUCAUUUGGCCUGUAGCCUUGCUCUCGUGAAUCGUGAACCAAUCACCUUGGGUAAUUUACUAAUGAGAGCCGAGGCUCCAAGACGGCAAAAAGUAUGUGUGACGUAAUUAUCGAAAGCGGGUAUUGUGGGGUGUGGUUUCAGUAUAAUAGAGUAUUUAUAGAAAAAUAUGUGAUACCUUCCUUAUAUUAAAAUUCGCGUCGUACCCAUUUUCGCUCAGCUUGUUGAGACUUAUUCGAUUUAUUAACUUCAGCCGUCAACAGAAAUAUACAUAUGCAAACAGGAAGACGGUUCAGGAACACUAACACAGCGUGAGCCAAUUACGUUAGUGACCUGUUACAAAACAUCAUUAUACAAAACUUCACAACUUAUAAUUUAAAUAU